rnacentral:rRNA from 1 species
GGGUUGUAAACUUCUUUUAUAAAGGAAUAAAGUCGGGUAUGCAUACCCGUUUGCAUGUACUUUAUGAAUAAGGAUCGGCUAACUCCGUGCCAGCAGCCGCGGUAAUACGGAGGAUCCGAGCGUUAUCCGGAUUUAUUGGGUUUAAAGGGAGCGUAGAUGGAUGUUUAAGUCAGUUGUGUAAGUUUGCGGCUCAACCGUAAAAUUGCAGUUGAUACUGGAUGUCUUGAGUGCAGUUGAGGCAGGCGGAAUUCGUGGUGUAGCGGUGAAAUGCUUAGAUAUCACGAAGAACUCCGAUUGCGAAGGCAGCCUGCUAAGCUGCAACUGACAUUGAGGCUCGAAAGUGUGGGUAUCAAACAGGAUUAGAUACCCUGGUAGUCCACACGGUAAA